GACAACCGUCGAAGGCAUUUUGUGCAAACUUUUUGGCCCUGCCCUGGCCUGGGACUGUGAAAGGGACCCAAAAAGUUGAAGAUAUGCGCGCCUUGUGGCCUGGUUUUGUGCGUUGCACCGACUACUGAGAAGUAUGGGCUGUUGAUAGUGCGCUUCGCCGAUGCGAGAUGCGGCAUAAAAAUAGAACACACACACAGCCACGGCCCCAUCCAUUGCUGCUGCCGGUCGAUGCGAUAGGGGUGUCAAUCGUCUGCUCGCCUGCCUACAACCGAGCACAUCCGGUCGGUCGGACGGUCACCAUCAACACUAGCGACAGCCGAGGAAAGUAGCAGAUGCUUUCGGUCUCUGCGUUACAUCGCUUUCAUGUUACAGUGUUUCACCCACUUCGUACGAGUUUGAGUCUCUCAGGCUCGUCAUCCUUGUCGUGUCGUGCACACCGUGUGGUGAUGAAUUUUUAAUUGAAAUAUCGAUUCUCUCACACUUUGGCCUGCAAGCCAGGGCCAGUCCGUGUUUGUCUCCGUUGUUUAGUUACUGGGCGUGAGGAAUAUGUGAUGCACAUGCGUAACUGCUUGCAGCAUUAGGUCAUGGAUGACGCACCUGCAGGCAGUUGAAGACAGUAACUGGGUUAUGGAAACUCUAGAAGCCGGAUAGCAUCACGAUUCUUCAACGCCAACAACGACUUAGAAGCUAAACCUUAAUCAUAUUCAUCUCGAAUGGUUGGCAUAGUUUCACGAUAAGCUAGACACCACCACAACCACCAGCAGCUCAAUCGACCCUUAUCACCCGGAUGGGACUUGGUAUCCCCGCUGGUGGAAGCUGUACGUUGCCUGGAACGUGUGUGCACAACACGUUCGAGCGAGCGAGCAAAAUAUGGCGCGCGCAUUCGCCCGAUAACCGAACGGUACCGGCGUGUAGGUUACGCAAACCCGUAGAAACAUGGAUGACGGCCUGUUUGACUGGAAUGCUGAAAGAACGGAGCUUACGUUCCAUCAUCACCACCACCGGUGGAAUGUUUCGCUCUCGGGCACAGAAGAAUACGGUUCCACACCGACCAAGACCGAGUGCUGCUAUCGAGGCCAAGCAGCAGAGGGACUGAGUAACGAAAUUAUGUAACGAUAUCAUUCCAUGCCAUGCCUGUCUGCAGCAGCAGCAGCUGUAGCUAGGAAUUGUAUUAAUGUUAUUCUACUCAAGAGCAGGACGCUGCUUCCGUCAAUAGUAAUAUCCAUCGAGGGAGCAAUUUGACGAAAGUUGACCAAAGGCAACGCACAUAUGCUGGUGUCAGUUUCGGGGGCUGGACAUUACUUUGAGUGCGUGACAAUUUUCACCAACAACAAACCGACCGACCUGUUGGUCUAAUCGGGACCACGGGAUGGACACACAGUGUGCGUACUGGAGCAAGAAAAUGAUUAUUUCUCGGCCCGUCAUCCUGGGCGGCAACCGAUCUUCAAUCACACGGCCAUCCUGCGUUGAUGAUGCCCUCGGGGCGUGUUGUCGUUGUCUUCGUCGUCGUCGUCGUCGUCGUCGUCGUCGCCGAUGACAGGGAGCUAUCGCACGCCACACACCACUUGCGGGCCCUCAAAUGAAGGGGUCUUCCUUCGUUAAGAAUGGCCCAGCACGAGGAGAGACAGGAAGAGGUUGGGUACUUGCAUGCAGGAGACGCCCGGGAUGGAAUGUCACGAUUUUGCUGACGGAUGAGUUGGCAUCUUCCGUUCCGUGCUGCUUUCUUGACAUAAGAAGCCAUACCGCAGAAGAACCUCGGAAGGUGGUAAGAGGACCCCCGACUGUUGCAUGAAACUAAUGAAGUAUCUUUUUCGCCCCCGGACCUAGGACCUGGACCCCAGAAGGAGUGAAGAAGUCCCGUGUUGAUCGUGUUGAUAGGUAUCAGAUCAGAGCCGACCGGAGUUACCGCUGCUGCUGCUGCUGUUGCUGCUGGGAUGAUUAUUGCCGCUUUGGCCGCGCAAUGCCGGGUCGAUAUGCGUGGUGAACUCUUGCGCGAUGUGCGCGAUCCCGUUGCUUCGCGACAUGCUUAGCGUUUAGUGAUGGAAAUUUUAGAGAAUUGAGUCACAGACGGCGGCCACAUCACCGAUGGACACCAAGUGAUCAUUGCCGGAGCAUGGUUUCGUUGCCCGUCAGACCGACACCGGAGACCGAUUCGGCUCGGAGUUCAAUGGCCCGCCGUGAGGAAAUGAUGCCCCGAGGGCAUCACAGAAGACGAACCACCCCACCAGGAGGGGGUGAGAUGGGUUGAUCCCAUCCCUUCAAACGGUGCCAGCAUCUUUACCGGAGGAGCAAUGAAGAUGAAGAAGAAAAAGAAGGGAUUUUUACAGGGUCUCGGGCUUUUCCUUUUCUUCUUCCGCGCGCCGUUCAAACCCGCUUCGUCCACGCUUCGCUACAAGCACAUCACCAGCGCACACCGAGACCGAGAGGUUGUGGCCGGUUGCUUCUGGCUUCUUGGCGUGAUGAAAAAGACUUGGCACAAAUCGCUCACCCGUUCGCUCGCUCGCUCGCUCGCUCGGAUUGUCUGGAUGGAUUUCAUUUGCCCGCAGGCCGUCAACCAACUGACGUGUGCGCACGCUGGCUCUGGUGCGCUUUGGGAGUUGAGGCGCUUCUUCCUCUCGUUCUUUGCUUGCUGGUGGAGAUCAUCUUCACACUGAGCGGCCAAGGGCUGUGGAGCGGCUGUGUCUCUCGAGCUCCAUCCUUUGAAGGCGGCAGUAACGUCCGUAACGGACGCGGCGGGAGUGUUGGCGAAGUUCACAAAGCUUAUCGACACGACGGCUGCCGACGUGCAUUGGUUCGAUUUCAAUUUGCUCAGUUCCAACGCUCCGUAAUAAGCUGCUUCGGCUCAAGGGACCGAAACAUUGGGUCUGCCUGGCUGGCCGUACCAAGCAGUUGGUUCGACGUGCCGGUCGUGCGAUCUGGAUUAGAGGGAGUUGGUGCGCCCAGGUGGCGUGUUAUGUGGCUUGCUCCACUCCCGUCGAGGGUGGGCCACUGAUCUAAUAAUCUCAACCCUCAAAACGGCGACGAGCCGACGUUUUGUUCUGCAACGCGGAACCGUUGGCGUUCGGUUUGUUGUCAAAGUCUGGCUUGGAGUUACUUAUCGGCAUCAGCAGCAUCAUAAAUCACGUAGAGGCACACGAGCAGAGAGUAGAGGCGCCACGAAUCCACUACAAAACUGUGUCACACCAUCACGCGUGACCUGUUGUUACGUGCACCAGUAACUUCCGCGGGAGCACACAGUGUUCCCGGUGGUUCGUAUUUGUUGUUGCUGUCAAGCAGUCAGUAGUAGCAGCAGCAUAAGUAGUUGCUUCACUAGCUGCCAGAGUUCCUUCUGAGCGAUUCUCUUCGGUUCGGUCGCGCUCAAAUCCACCGUUCUGCUUCUCGCCUCUUGCGGAGAAAGCGACAAUUUCGUUCCUUGGGGUGUUGUUUCGGUUGGAAAAAAGUACUGUUACCUGCCAUCCAUCCGCGGGACACAUUGCCUAUCACCGAGAUACAAUCCUCGGCGAGGGCAAGCGGCGGCGACGGACGGGCGUGCUGAAUGCAACAUAAAACCGAAACGAACGAAACCAACCGGGCGGCCUCCGAAAGGCGGUCAAAUACAUUUUUAUGCGGCUGCUCCACCGCACGACGAUCGCCACUAGUGCGAGAUAUCAUCCUCCGUGGAGGGGGCGGGGGAUUUAGGGCGGGAGGUGAGCAUUUCAAUGGGUCGUAAAAAUAUGACUGGAAUUGAUAAGUGUGUUGUGUUGGGUGAGUAAACCAUUGCCUCCACGACGGGGCCGUGUCAAACAAACACGACCGUCUUCGUCCAUUUCAUUACGGUAUUGUUUAUGAGCUCUCUGGUGCUCUGUACUUUCGAACCCGGUGCCGGUGCCGGUGCCGUUGGUAUGUUCGAGAUGGUGAAGCCAAUACUGGGCGCGCGAGAUGACCUAAUGCGGGGUUUGCCGAAGGUGGUUCUAAGGUCUCGGAUGCGCCCAUCUUCCGGAUUAUCAUUUCCCUCGACCCGGGCAUAGAAUCAUUCGAAGCUAUUCUUAAAGGCAUCCAUUUGCGCUCUCUUCGCGUCUCGUGUGGCUUUCGCAGGUUCGCAACAGCAUAAGAAGGUGCUUCAUCUUCUCGUAACUCGUCAAGAUCGCUCUGUUCGAAAAUCAUGCUCCAUAAUUGCCUUCCAACCUGCGGGUGGGGCUGGUGUGUUGUUGUUGUGUGUUGUGUGCUGAGAAGUCAUUAUUGCCGCCUCAUUCCUGUUGUUGCUAGGUACUGGUCGGCUCCGUAAUUUUGCUUCGUCUGGAAAGAAGUUGUUAGAACAUCAUCCGUUGUGAGAAAAAUGGUAUUUUGCUCACUUAUUGCCGCUGCUCAGUCCGGACUCCGUCCAUUCUAGUUUUGUUUGGGAUGGUUGGCGAUGGGGGAAUAGAAGAAUAAGAAGAAACUAGCUUGCCCUUCUAGCUAGUUGCUGUUCGGAGGAAGGGAAUUUUCGUUUGCCGAUCGAUUGCGAAUCGUUUUCUGCCGCUAAUUUACUCUGGAGUUGGAAAUUUGAAGCGGAUCCGGAUGGUAGUUGUGCAGUCCGAAUAGUGGUUGUUAAUGUGUUACAUUAACCACUCUUAAUGAGUGUUUCAACAGCGUUCUGGUCAAUGUUUCAUGUAUAUUUAAGCUUAUUGCCUCUAGGGACUUUACGUCAAAUGAACUUGCAUAAUCUUGUCCUCGUAUUUCGUCAAAACAAAUAUAUACAAAGUUCCUCCAGGGGUUUACUGAUUCUACAGAUACAACUUCACUUUUUACUUCUCUCGAGUUACGUCAUUUGUUAUAAACUUUAUUAUGCUAUUCAUUGGUCCAUACCAUAAUCUAUUCGCAAGGAAUUAGAACGUAUAAAAGCAUUUAAUUAAAGGCAUUAAAACAAAUUGGCCGAAGUUACUCACUGCGAAAAUAUUCUAAUCGAGUUUUCUAUUU